AAGAGAACAGAGUAUUGAAGUAGAUUAUAAGAGCACAUAACAUAACAAUGUAUUCUUUCAACUGGAAACGCACAUAAUCAUUCCGAGAGGCAUUUAUUUCGAAAUACAGUUAUGGAUGCAGGGGAAUUUCAAUUCCAGGGAAUUUGUUUUUAGAGGAAACGUUUCACCAAUCAAGUCAGUAGAGCGUUUCCAUUUCAACACUUAACACUUUCCAUUGGAACAAAAGCGUCCAACUACAUUUCUAAAAGGAUAAACAGAGCCAAAACCCACAACAAACAAUUUGUAGUAGACAGAUUCUAGCCCAUUACCUGGAAGGAAAUUUGCAAUUGCCA
rnacentral:misc_RNA from 1 species